ACUGCCCCCUUACUAUAAGGACACCAGUCAUUGAAUGAGCACCCACCCAAAUGUAGUGUGAGCUCAUUUUAACCCGAUUACAUCUGCAAAGACCCUAUUUCCAAAUAAGUCCAUAUUCACAGGUACAAGGGGAUAGGACUUCAACAUGUCUUUUGGGCGAAUGCACACACUCACCACACUGUGUGUAAGACAACAACAAAAAUCCAUGGGCCAGGCGUGAGAAGACCAGGAUGUCCAUCCAACCUGUUACCUCCCUGGGACCCGGAGCAAGCUGCCAGCUCAGAAGCCGUCUCAGAGAUUAGGAAAUGGGAGGAAAAAGGAUAUGAAUCAACCAAGUAGCUCAACCAGAUGGUUCUGGCCAGUUCCACCCUACCUCAUGUUCCUCUGCCCUGAAUGGUGGCCUUUACAAAGGAAGAGAAAGAGGGGUUUGCCAGAGCAGAGGGUGGACAGGGGUUCCCUUAGGGCCCGCUGAAUAAAAUCUCCAGAGGCCAAGGCAUUUUGUGGGAAGCUCCAAUCAUCCCUACUUAUUCUAGAUUUCAAGAAAAACCCCAGCCCUAACCUUUUCCCUUGCAAGAUGCCCUCAAAUUCCCCUGUGCAAGUCACAUGGAACACCCCAAGCCCUGCACGGCCUGUCCCCACAGCCACAUGAGGUGUGGGAGCUCACAUCCUUUCAGCCAGUGUUCGUAGUUUUCCUCGGUGAUCUCCACAGAGGUGGUCAUGAAACAGGGCUGAGGCCUUCUGUCAAAACCCCUGUGACUGACUAGCAGGGAAUCGUGGGGAGGGCUGAGAGAGACAGUAAAGGCAGAAAGACCCAGGAAGCGGUUUAUGGGACGGGAGACAGUAAAAUGGAUGAACAUUCAGAGGCCCGUCCUCCUUCCCCAAAACCAACAGCAAAAUUCAGCAGACCCAGGAGCACCCUCAGUUCAGGUGAUCGAGAAGAACUGAGCUUUGUACUCCUCGACGUCCCCUGAGGUGCCUAACACAGGGCUUUACACAGAGUGGACACUCAAUAAAUGUGCUAAUAAUUGACUUUUUUUUUUUUAAACAAAUAGCAACUUAAGAGGUGAUGGAGUCGUGUCAAGGUAACUGGUAACUGACCUCAGCCACAAAGCUCUUUUCCUGAAACCGUAAACACUCUCCAUUGUCUGGAAUGUGAAAGGAAAGGCCCACAGCCCUGAUAGCUAGGGCUACUAAUCCAGGCUGCACCGAUGGCCACUUCUGAUCAAAUAUACUUUCCCCUGGGAAGGCCAGAGAUUUGCAGAAGGGACAUGCUAUAAACCCAGAGAGCUGUCAGGGCACUAGCUCCAGAACGUGGGUGUAGAGGUUCACCUAAGUACUCUUAUUAUUAUUUCAUUAUUCACAAAUAUUGAGCACCUACUCCGUGCCUGUGACAAAGCCCUACAGUCGCACAGCAAGGCCAGUGCCCCACUGUACCGUCCUUCCCUUUCCUGGGCCAGAGUCUCAGCACAACUCCCAAGACACUGAGUGGAGCGUGAGUAAGGGCAGGCUCUGCCCCUGGGUGCAUGCUCCAGGGCCCUGGCCAGCUCUGGGAACUGUCUGCAAGCAGCACAGGGAGUUCACAUUUUGUAUUUCAGAGGAGACGUAGUCUCAGAUGGAGUUCAACUGGUCCUUCUGGGGAUCAUUUCUCAUGCUCCUGGAACCCUGACCCAGAGUCCAGCCAAGGUACUUGGGCUCGGCUCACACACACACCAGGGACCACCCGUGCCCAGUUAGCAUCUGUCCUCAAAGCCCCGAGACUUUCCCUCCCAAAAGACACAACAGACCUUAUAUGCAUCUUCACCUCAGACGGCUCAGGAGCCCCCAAAAACAAAGAAGAAAGGAAAGUGUCAAACCACGGACAUAAAACUCAAAAAAGACAGAAAAGGACACGUGUAUUUCCAGAAUCUGACCACCUAUUCGGGAAUUUGAGUCCCUGGAAAUGUUUUUCCACAAAGAAAGGCGAUAAAAGAGUUUUCCUACCUGUUUUUAAAAGGGGAGUGGGGUGGGGCAUGAAUAAAUAAAUGAGUCAUUGCAAAGUAGCUGCUGAAGCAAAGAUAGGUAUGAGCUACAAGGAGAGCAACCUGUGACAUUGUCGACAAUUUGUCCCAGAGGAGCUGGUGAUUAGAAGGCCUAAGGCAGGUUGAGAGAGUCCAGUUACAAUUUUAAAAGAAUUGCAACUUUUUGAGAGGCUGCUAGGGGGGUACCCCAUUGUGAGGAACAUAAAGCAUAAAUUUUAAAAGCUCUGGAUACCCCUGCAAAAGGCAAUUAAGACCUGUGCUGUUAAGAGUUUGCAGUUCAUUUCAUAUGGUCUACACUUUAUUCCCUACUAACCAAUCAAGCUCCUGGCUGGAAUUCUGGAGAUUCAUUAAGCACCAUAUAAAUACUCCAGGCCACACUGCCUCCAAUGAAAUCUUAUAAGGAGCCUUUGCCAAUUACUAGGAAACAAUUAUGCACCAAGUAGUUGGAUUAGCUGUCCUUAGUUUUCUCUACAAAACAGAAAAGUCUUCAUUGUGGGUAGUAGACUAGACUGAUAACAUUCUUAUGCUAAAGGAAAGAAAGGCACUAUCAUUCUGAGAAUGCAAGCUGACCAUAGUUUUAAAGUCAGUUGAGUAUACUAUUAUGUCAUGGUGCAAGAAUGUGCUUUUAAUUGUAAUUGACACACACAAAUUACACAGCUAAUCUGUGUGAACGCAAAGUUGCCAAGAAACUUAACAUUUUAGCUCUUCCAGACUGGCGUCUGCAUAGAUGCAAUCACACAAAGUAAAAUAUAUUAAGUCCCCAUUGCUCAAUGCAAUAGGUCUCCGGGUCGGUAAGGUAAGUCAACUUGAUAAAUCUCAUUUUCCUCUGAAUUAAAUGAUUGUCAGAAAGUGAAUCACCCUUACUUUCCCCCUCAUUAGGCAUGCUGCGGUGCAAAAAAAAAUCCUAUAAAAAUACCUCUUUUGAGUCAUUAAUGUAAAAUGAAGAAAACAGCAGCAGCCCAGAACAGGGAUGUUGAAAUUUAAGAGGAAGAGAGAGAAGAAAAAUCCACUGGACACCUUAUGUGUGUUUAAUUCACCAAUCUGUUAGAACACUUCUGCCAGGUGUGCAGAGUUUUGGCAGACCAAAUCCACAUGCCUGAAGUGAUGCCCACCAGCAAAGACAUAAAAAUUUUCAACAUUUCCACUGCCAUAUUGGAGUCAUCUGCAGAAUACCGGAAGAGCGCCCAGUUGGAGAUUUCAUAGAAAUAACAGGCAAUCACACAGGUGGCAGGCACCGUGUACAGGACUGAGAAGACCCCAAUCUUGACCAUCAGCCUUUCCAACUUGUCCGUCUUUGUCCCAUCCUUUUGCAGAUUGGACCGAAUUUUGAACAAGGCCACUAAACCGGCCGCGAUGAACAGAGUCCCGAUCACCAAGUAAGUGAAGAGGGGAGCCACCACAAAGCCUGUGAGGGCAUCAAGGUUUUGAUUCCCGACGUAGCACAGGCCCGUCAGUUCAUCCGCAUCCACCAGUCUCAUAAUCAAGAUGACAAUGGUUUUCACAGCAGGAAUGGCCCAGGCGGCAAUGUGGAAAUAAGAGCUGUGCAUCUCAAUGGCCUCAUGACCCCAUUUGAGUCCCGCUGCCAAAAACCAAGUGAGUGUCAGAAUAACCCACCA